UCCAAAUGGCUCAUCUGGUCUCCUCACAGCAGCCCAAAGAAGGGCAGAGCGUUUGACCGCAGAUCAAGAGGCCCCUGGUUCAAAUCCUGACGCCUUUGAGAG